rnacentral:tRNA from 1 species
GGUAUAGCUCAGCUGGUAGAGCACUUGCCUCACAUGCACAAGGCCCUGAGUUUAAUCCCCAGUGCAACA